rnacentral:rRNA from 1 species
GUGGGGAAUCUUGCGCAAUGGGCGAAAGCCUGACGCAGCCAUGCCACGUGAAUGAUGAAGGUCUUAGGAUUGUAAAAUUCUUUCACCGGGGACGAUAAUGACGGUACCCGGAGAAGAAGCUCCGGCUAACUUCGUGCCAGCAGCCGCGGUAAUACGAAGGGGGCUAGCGUUGCUCGGAAUUACUGGGCGUAAAGGGCGCGUAGGCGGACAGCUUAGUCAGAGGUGAAAGCCCAGGGCUCAACCUUGGAAUUGCCUUUGAUACUGGCUGUCUUGAGUUUGGGAGAGGUGAGUGGAACUCCGAGUGUAGAGGUGAAAUUCGUAGAUAUUCGGAAGAACACCAGUGGCGAAGGCGACUCACUGGCCCAAUACUGACGCUGAGGCGCGAAAGCGUGGGGAGCAAACAGGAUUAGAAACCCCUGUAGUCC